UUGAGCUGAGGAUGAGUUAAAGUUAUCCCUGUCUGAAAUGACUUCUUUAGUGAGGAGUACUGACUUCCUGAGGCUCAG